AAGCCAUGAUGUGGGCAUUGAGACGAAUAGCCCUUGAACCUCUCUCAUGCUUCACUAAAUCCCUCUAGGUUCUUCUACUGAAAGCUAGAGAUCUCAUUCCUGAUCUU
rfam:Brassica napus, WGS project CCCW01000000 data, contig: 28795